rnacentral:rRNA from 1 species
AUUGCCUCAGUAACGGCGAGUGAAGCGGCAAAAGCUCAAAUUUGAAAUCUGGCGCCCUUCUUGGGUGUCCGAGUUGUAAUUUGAAGAUGGCGACUGUGGGGCUGGCCUUUAUCUAUGUUCCUUGGAACAGGACGUCACAGAGGGUGAGAAUCCCGUCUGAUGAGGUGACCCAGCUCUUUGUACAGUGCCUUCGACGAGUCGAGUUGUUUGGGAAUGCAGCUCUAAGUGGGUGGUAAAUUCCAUCUAAAGCUAAAUAUUGGCGAGAGACCGAUAGCGAACAAGUACAGUGAUGGAAAGAUGAAAAGAACUUUGAAAAGAGAGUGAAAAAGUACGUGAAAUUGUUGAAAGGGAAGGGUAUUAGAUCAGACUUGGUGUGCGGUUGAUUAGCUUCCCCUUGUGGGUUGUGUACUCGGCGUGCGCUGGGCCAGCAUCGAUUCGGAGCGGCAGGAUAAUGGCGGGGGGAACGUGGCAGCUGUCUUUGGCAGCUGUGUUAUAGCCCUUUGCAGAUGCUGCCAGCCUGGAUCGAGGACUGCGUCUUUUGACUAGGAUGCUGGCGUAAUGAUCUAAUAUCGCCCGUCUUGAAACACGGACCAAGGAGUCUAACGUCUAUGCGAGUGUUUGGGUGUAAAACCCGUACGCGUAAUGAAAGUGAACGUAGGUGGGGGGCCUUUCGGGGCCGCACCAUCGACCGAUCCUGAUGUUUUCGGAUGGAUUUGAGUAAGAGCAUAGCUGUUGGGACCCGAAAGAUGGUGAACUAUGCCUGAAUAGGGUGAAGCCAGAGGAAACUCUGGUGGAGGCUCGUAGCGGUUCUGACGUGCAAAUCGAUCGUCGAAUUUGGGUAUAGGGGCGAAAGACUAAUCGAACCAUCUAGUAGCUGGUUCCUGCGA